AAUCACGACAAUUCCUGGUUUUAGUUGGGAGAGAGGCGAGUUCUUAGGCCAAGCUUGCUAGCUACUAUUAGCCAGUUGCUUGCAGUACGAAGCAGUUCAGCUACUGUAGAUGGCUAGGAAAGUAAUGUAUUUGCUAACGUUACGUAGCAUCGCGUUAAUUAGCUAGCUAGCAUUCAUCGCAAAUGAAGUCAACCCAUACUGGCCUAGCUAGCUAUAACCUUACCCUACAGAGCUUUUAUUUCUCUUUGAGUUGGCUAGCUAGCCAACUUUAACUACCACUAUGUGACGUUGCACGCUAACUAUGGGUGCGUUCGUAAAUUCACUAGCUAUCUACUCCGAAUUCAAAGCACUCGAAGAAUGAGGAAUUUACGAACGCGCAACAUCCGUAGAAUAUGACCGAUUUCAGUACUGUAAACGGCAGCACAGUCACCACCGCUCUUAAAUAACAUGAAAACAGCCUAACCAGUUCUGCUAGGGUGAUUAAAAUGGCCAGAGUGAGGUGUUCUCUCAUUUGUGUCUGGAAGUAGCUUGUUAGCAAGCUCAUUUAGCUUGGAUGUUUGACUGUUGUUGUGAGGCCAGAACGCUCUGAUCAACCCUACUCCUCAGCCACAGCGUACGAUCAGGAGAGCGUAACCAAAGAGCUGUCGUUUCCAAUGGGAGCAAAUAAAUCCUAGUGGGCAGAACAAGCAAGGAGAUGGGCAGAGCCUAGAACGAGCUAGCGGGAUCCAAUUGGCGCGUUCUAGCAUUUAUUUGCAUAUUUCCGUUAGGGAACGCAUACUCUGAUGUGCGUAUUAACUCGAUUCGCCCUUGCACUCCUAAACAACACUAUUUACUAUUUUGUAUAUUUAUAUUUUGCAAAUGGUAAAGUCUACAAAACGCAGUCCACUGUUUGUUACAGAUUACUUUUCUGAACUGUAUGGAGAUCAAAUGUUUCAUCGAGGAGAAAAUGUGCAGAAUGUCGGCCAAAAUCAAUUUUCUCCCACUGCCUGCUACUGGGUUUCGUCUCGGCAGGAUAUUUGGUAGUGAGUGGAAACGCCAACCAGAUGCUUCACAUUUAUACAUCCGGUAAAAUAUGUCUCAUUGUUCUGUGGCGAAACGUUCUGAAUUUAUGAACGGACAACAAUGAUCUGACAACGCUCUGAAUGUACGAACGUUCUCCGGAGUCUAUUUACGAACACAACCUAGGAUUGCUAGCUAGCAUGCAAAGCUGUCUACCUAUCACUGUGAAGAAGCCUAACGUUACUGAUUGUGUCCACAAGUUUAGUUAAAAUGACAAUAAGCUGGCAUGUAGCUCGCUGUGCUGCAAUACGUUUUUCUUCGCUAAUAUGUUAAUACAGUGUUUACAUUUAGCCAGUUGGCUAAUAAGCUAGCUAAAGCUGUCACAUCAAAUCAAAUGUAUUUAUAUAGCCCUUCUUACAUCAGCUGAUAUAUCAAUGUGCUGUACAGAAACUCAGCCUAAAACUCCAAACAGCAAGUAAUGCAGGUGUAGAAGCACGGUUGCCAGGAAAAACUCCCUAGAAAGGCCAGAACCUAGGAAGACACCUAGAGAGAAACCAGGCUAUGAAGGGUCUGUUGGCAAAAAGCUAGGGUGACCAGAUUUAAAAUACCCAUAUGGAGGACAACAGGAUAAUUGUAGGACAGUGUAGCCUACAUUCAUUUUAAAAAAUGGCAGCACCUAUUUUUAACACCCCCAAACACCAAGUAAUGUUAGUUUCAAAAUGGGCCAUCACUGUUAAUCAUGAAUGACAAUUUUUCACGUCAAACGUCCAAGUUUCAUCUGCAUGUCAAUCAUUUGAUCUCAAAUCAGUUUCAUGGGAAUAUGCAUUUAGAUCAAGUUUUUUUGUGAGCAGAUUACAGCAGAUGGUGUUAAUUGAGCAAUAAGGCCCGAGGGGGUGUGGUAUAUGGCCAAUAUACCACAGCUAAGGGCUGUUCUAAAGCCUACUGCAACACGGAGUGCCUGGAUACAACCCUUAGCCGUGGUAUAUUGGCCAUAUACCACCAACAAACACCAGAGGUGCCUUAUUGCUAUUAUAAACUGGUUAUCAAUGUAAUUAGAGAAGUACAAAUACAUGUUUUGUUAUUGAUUCAGCAGCUUUGAUCUAAGCACCAUUGUGAGAAGCGCUCCACUACAGCCUUGCUCCCACGGCACCGAACGAGCUAAUAGAAACACACGUAGCCUACUUUUUUUGCCUCACGCAAAAUUUGGUGAUGCAGAAACGAGAGACGAGAAAUCUGGGAAUAUUUGGCCAACAAAUAAUUUCUGGUUGGUCUCAGGGAAUGUAAAACAGAUAAGGGAGUAUUUUAAAACGGGACUGAUUGAAGUAGCAGCAAAUAUGUUGAAUGAGCAAAUAGUGAGCAUGGAGAGCCUCAAGUUUUAUGAAAUGACCUUAAAUGUUAAGGUACCUUACUUCGUCAGAAGCACGCAUUUUGUAAGUCGUUAGGCCACCCCAGCGGGCACAUCUUCACGCUUGACACUUUUGAAUGUGAGAAAUAAAAGUAUUAUCUAAGGUUCUUUAAUCCCCUGCUUCCCAAAAUCCUCUUUGCUAGUUAGCGGGAUCGACACUGGUAGACUGUCCUUUUCUUCUGCCUGCGGAACAGAAAUGCUGGAAAACAGUGCCUAACAGGCAGUGGCGAAGGACACCGUCUACCGGUCGCUCCUGCUAGAACAUCAGAAUCAGAUCUCAACGACUGGAUAUGCGUUUAAAGAGUAACUCUCAACCCCAAGUUCAGCCUUUGCCCAGCACCUCCAA